rnacentral:rRNA from 1 species
ACGCACGCUGGCGGCGUGCUUAACACAUGCAAGUCGAACGGAAAGGCCCUGCUUUUGUGGGGUGCUCGAGUGGCGAACGGGUGAGUAACACGUGAGUAACCUGCCCUUGACUUUGGGAUAACUUCAGGAAACUGGGGCUAAUACCGGAUAGGAGCUCCUGCUGCAUGGUGGGGGUUGGAAAGUUUCGGCGGUUGGGGAUGGACUCGCGGCUUAUCAGCUUGUUGGUGGGGUAGUGGCUUACCAAGGCUUUGACGGGUAGCCGGCCUGAGAGGGUGACCGGCCACAUUGGGACUGAGAUACGGCCCAGACUCCUACGGGAGGCAGCAGUGGGGAAUAUUGCACAAUGGGCGGAAGCCUGAUGCAGCAACGCCGCGUGCGGGAUGACGGCCUUCGGGUUGUAAACCGCUUUCGCCUGUGACGAAGCUUGAGUGACGGUAAUGGGUAAAGAAGCACCGGCUAACUACGUG